GAAGUGGCUUUCAGAAGAUGACAUCAGAGUAGGCAGCAAGAUAAGAUCACAUGAGAAAACAGGCAUUUUGCUGCAUUUUCUGAAGGACGUAUCUGUGCAGAAAGCAAUUUGAGGAGGAUGAGCUUCCAGAUGACAAAAAGAAAAAGGUGCUACUCAGUGUACCCAUGUCUCAUCAUCAGAAAAAUACAAUAAUAAUAAUAAAAAAAAAAAGACUCCUACUGAAGGAAAAUAAUAUUUUUUUUCUUUCUCAGUAGGAGAUUUUCUAUGAGACCAGCCAGGGCCUAUGCAAGGUGUUCCACCUAUUGUUAUUUGGGACACUUUAUCAUACAUUUUAAACUAAUACAUUUGACAUAUUUUUCACUAGUCACUGAAAGAGAUCAGUAAAGAUCAGUAACAUGGAAGGCACCUCUUUAUUGUAAAAAUAAGUGAAGAUACCCCAAGCACUAGAAAAUUGUACUCAAAAAUUGGGCUUGGCUUCUCCACGCUACCUUGAAGUUCCCUCUCACGUGCUUUUAUACCUCUUGAGCCUCCUUGGAGGCCCUUCUUCUCCCUUCAUCCUUACUGGAAGCAAGGUAGCAUUUUUCUGCAAGUUCCCAGCAGCUAAUUUUUUAGCAUGAUUCCUGCUUCUGUUUUCAUGUGACAGCUAUUCUCCACUCUGCUUGUGUACACCAUGGGCAUGCCACAGGUGAAUUUACACUUGUAACAGUUCCUGAAGUACAUGGGGCUUAAUUAGUUCUCUGUUUGGAGCCCCCAACAGGACAGAGCACAUUAAUGAAUCAUCUCAAGGUGUCCAAUGCACCUAUCCUCUAACUAAGGCUGGACAAAUCCUGUGUGUGAAGCAAACCUGAAAUAGAAAGACAGCAAGGCAAGCCCACACAACCCUCUAGGAAUGUAUGACCAUGGUCAACCAUUUCCUUUGAAUUUAAGGAAAACUUUUCUCCUCUUUCUGUAUGGUUCUGAAAAAUCAGGUAGCUUU
rnacentral:lncRNA from 1 species